rnacentral:rRNA from 1 species
GCGGCAUGCUUUACACAUGCAAGUCGAACGGCAGCGGGGGCUUCGGCCUGCCGGCGAGUGGCGAACGGGUGAGUAAUGCAUCGGAACGUGCCCAUGUCGUGGGGGAUAACGUAUCGAAAGGUACGCUAAUACCGCAUACGUCCUGAGGGAGAAAGCGGGGGACCUUCGGACCUCGCGCGAUUGGAGCGGCCGAUGUCGGAUUAGCUAGUAGGUGAGGUAAAGGCUCACCUAGGCGACGAUCCGUAGCGGGUCUGAGAGGAUGAUCCGCCACACUGGGACUGAGACACGGCCCAGACUCCUACGGGAGGCAGCAGUGGGGAAUUUUGGACGAUGGGCGCAAGCCUGAUCCAGCCAUGCCGCGUGAGUGAAGAAGGCCUUCGGGUUGUAAAGCUCUUUCGGCCGGGAAGAAAUCGUGGUCUCUAACAUAGGCCAUGGAUGACGGUACCGGACUAAGAAGCACCGGCUAACUACGUGCCAGCAGCCGCGGUAAUACGUAGGGUGCCAGCGUUAAUCGG